rfam:Sphingomonas sp. KC8, complete genome.
GGAUCGGGCCUUUCAGGCAUCCUCUCCUAAGACUUUCGGGUCGGUCCUCCGGGAUCGGCCCGUUUUUUUGUCUAUC